rnacentral:rRNA from 1 species
UGGGGAAUAUUGCACAAUGGGCGCAAGCCUGAUGCAGCCAUGCCGCGUGUGUGAAGAAGGCCUUCGGGUUGUAAAGCACUUUCAGCGGGGAGGAAGGCGGUGAGGUUAAUAACCUCAUCGAUUGACGUUACCCGCAGAAGAAGCACCGGCUAACUCCGUGCCAGCAGCCGCGGUAAUACGGAGGGUGCAAGCGUUAAUCGGAAUUACUGGGCGUAAAGCGCACGCAGGCGGUCUGUCAAGUCGGAUGUGAAAUCCCCGGGCUCAACCUGGGAACUGCAUUCGAAACUGGCAGGCUAGAGUCUUGUAGAGGGGGGUAGAAAUCCAGGUGUAGCGGUGAAAUGCGUAGAGAUCUGGAGGAAUACCGGUGGCGAAGGCGGCCCCCUGGACAAAGACUGACGCUCAGGUGCGAAAGCGUGGGGAGCAAACAGG